CAGAGAGGAGAAGAAGGUCAAACAGACUAAUCCUCAAAAAGACCUGAAAUUCUGGCUCCCCUGGACCACGCCAAAAGACAUUCCGCUGGGAGCAAGAGACAGGCACCAAAGAGUUUCAAAAUCCUUCAAACUACUCCAUGGUGAGACUAAAACUGGGGUUCCCUGCAAUUCUACUUUAAUCCUUACGCUUCUAAGUAACCCAGAGACAAAGCCCUUCGAGGUGCCUCAAAAUACCCAGCGAUGCCAAGGAAAACUAUGGCAAUUACUUCAGACUGACUGCAGGGGAGACUGGGAGACUCUUACUUGAAGCCUCACACACAGAAAUGAGAAGAGGUGGUCUAAUUAGCAUAGGUGGUCUAAUUAGCCCAGGUAAAGGGCUUUGAGCUCCUGCCUUACAGAGUAUCUUGAAUUCUAGCAUUGAGAAAAAGGAAAAGUUGUAAAUGUUUUAUAUGACUGGUUCAUCAUAGGGGAAAAAAGCUGUCAGGAUUUAAGGAAGCCAGCUCCUCUCUUCACAGGGGAAGAAUGAACCACAUAAGUGAGAAGCCAAAACCCCAGGGAGAUCAUUAAGUGAGUGAAGCAGCAACCUGGCAUCACCAGUUCACAGCCCCUGCCCAGGAUGCCUGGACCUGGAAUUAAACACUAGAGGAGGGAAGUGGGCUGAUAUCUUACUUUUGCUCUCCAACAAUCCAGACACCAAGUCAAUGCACAUGAAGAUUCCAUUCCCAAGAACCAAGAAAAGGUACCAAUGACCUGGAUUCAGAUGCCCUGGCCUGGGUUUAAAUCCUGGCUCUGCCAUUUACUAACUCUGUGAAUUACUUCAACUCUCUGUACCUGGAUUUCCUAAUAUAAAAAUGUGUAUAAUACUAAAACUAAUCUUAGAGGGUUUUGUGAUGAUUUGAUCAUACAAGUUAAUAACACAAAUAGAAUCUAAUUUAGAUCAUAGUAAGUGUUCAAUUAAAUGAAAAUUAUUAUUAUCCAUCUCUUGGUGUUGGUGGCUAACCAUUAUUGAGCUUUUAUUAUGUAUCAUGUGCUAACCAUGGAUUACCUAAUUUGUCCCCCGCAAACUCUGUAAGACAACGUAUGAAAAGCACUAAGCUCAGUGAACUCCCUGAACAUAGAAAAUGCUCAAUAAAAAGGACCCAACCUUCCUACUAUCAUUACCAAAUCACCAAGUGAAAUCCAAAACACCAUUUCCCCCCAUUCUGAAAAGACACCUGGGUAAAAAGACAAGUCAAAGAAAACAUGAGACUUAAGCACCCUAUAAGCAUCUAUCUGAGUAACAUGUCAGUUGGAGGUUUUUGAUGAGUCAGAGACUCUUCUUGGUAUUACCUUGACUAUUUCACUCUGAUAAAGAUUGCAAGACCCAGGAGUCAAAUGAAUGGGGCCAUCUGAAUACUGUCUUACACUGGGCGUCUAGAGUCAGAAGAAAAAGAAGACUUUUCUAUACCAUAAAUUCUACCUCUGAUGGGUUAAGGUACAAUGUGCUUUAAAGAACAGUCAUUUUAACUCCAGAAAAGUUUUCAUGUUGUUAAAGCAUUGACUUCAAAUCACUUCAUGAGAUAAGCAGGGGCUAUUUGAAGCAAUGAACGAAACAUCAAGAAAAAGAAAAUGAUUUAGUAAAGUUCAAACUUGAUCUACAAAAAAUAAAUAAAUAAAUAAAUAAAAGCGAUCCUCAAAAGCUCUUCUAUUUUUGAUCCCUAUUCUAUUAGACAGAGACAACACAUCCCCUACCAGCCCCACGCAUCCUGGCUCUGUCAACUGACUGUUCACACGUGAACCAAGUGGAGCAGAGCCUCAAUAUUAGCGUUCUGUACUAACAAUAAACUUGGUCUAUACAGGAUCAUAGCACUUUUCGGAUGAUAUGGUAGAUUGCUAAUGGCAUGUUCCUUUGCAAUGUGACUUUGUCAUUCCCCCCAAUUCAGAGUUGGAGGCAAUUUCUCCACUCUCUCGAGUCUGGGAUACAACUGGAUCUCUUGCUACUUGUUUCGGCCAACAGGAUAUGGCAGAAGUGAGGCUAUGCAAAUUCCAAAGCCUAGGCCUCAAGAGGACAGAAGCCUCCAGCUCUGUCCUUUUGGAAAGCUGCCCUGAAGUGGCCACAGUAUGUAGAAGCCCAGGAUGAAAGACCACAUGGGAAGGGGCCCUGUGAUCCCAGCCCUGAAUGUAGCUGCACAAGUAAGCCCAGGAGAGGACAACAGCACCAACCAGUCAAUCCACGAGUCACAAGAAAUAAACACUAUUGUCACCUUUGGUC